AUUUAAAUAGCUUAUAAUUAGAGUGUAAUAUUGAAGAUAUUAAGGAGAUUGAUUAGGAUCUUUAAAUA
rnacentral:tRNA from 1 species